UACGAAGGGGGCUAGCGUUGCUCGGAAUCACUGGGCGUAAUGCGCACGUCGGCGGCUUCUUAAGUCGGGGGUGAAAUCCUGGAGCUCAACUCCAGAACUGCCUUCGAUACUGAGGAGCUUGAGUCCGGGAGAGGUGAGUGGAACUGCGAGUGUAGAGGUGAAAUUCGUAGAUAUUCGCAAGAACACCAGUGGCGAAGGCGGCUCACUGGCCCGGUACUGACGCUGAGGUGCGAAAGCGUGGGGAGCAAACAGG
rnacentral:rRNA from 1 species